rnacentral:lncRNA from 1 species
CUAAAUUAUAAAUAUUUUCAUUGUCUUGUUUAUCGAAAAGUUCCACGAAUAUCUCUCUCUCUCUCGAAAAAGAAUUACAAAUUUUAGUUAUGACAUAUGUAAAUAAAUUCAAUUUAUUUAUUUUGACAUAUCAGAUUAAGAUAAAGAGAAAAAUACAUGCACUAAUUAGGUGGAUUGUUGCAGUAAAAUGUGCAAAUGCAAGUUGUUGCAGUGCAGUUUCCUUCUCCUCUUUCCUUCAGAGAACAUAUUUGCAUGCACUUCUGGGAAUCACAUUUGGGUGCAUUUAUUUGCUCACGGCACCGAUGCUCUGGAAUCCAUGCUUCACCACUGUUAUUGAACUUCAAUGAUGCACUUCCUUCAGCCAUCAAUGAAAAAUAAAUCGACAUGACUUUGAAACACAAGAACAAGAUUCGCAUAUUCAUUGAAUUGGACAGUAUAUUUUUC